rnacentral:rRNA from 1 species
AACGAACGCUGGCGGCAUGCCUAACACAUGCAAGUCGAACGAGACCUUCGGGUCUAGUGGCGCACGGGUGCGUAACGCGUGGGAACCUGCCCUUAGGUUCGGAAUAACUCCCCGAAAGGGGUGCUAAUACCGGAUAAUGUCUUCGGACCAAAGAUUUAUCGCCUUUGGAUGGGCCCGCGUUGGAUUAGCUAGUUGGUAGGGUAAAAGCCUACCAAGGCGACGAUCCAUAGCUGGUCUGAGAGGAUGAUCAGCCACACUGGGACUGAGACACGGCCCAGACUCCUACGGGAGGAAGCAGGGGGGAAUAUUGGACAAUGGGCGAAAGCCUGAUCCAGCAAUGCCGCGUGAGUGAUGAAGGCCUUAGGGUUGUAAAGCUCUUUUACCCGGGAUGAUAAGGACAGUACCGGGAGAAUAAGCUCCGGCUAACUCCGU